GAAAAAAAAAUUGGGAAAAAAUGAGGAGUUAAUAAAGGAGAGACCCAGAUCAAAAGGAGAACCAGAAUUGGGGGAUAACAAGUUUUGGUUUCUCCAUAGGCAGAUGGAAGUUGAAAAGGAACGUUAGACCCAGAAAGAUUGGAAUGCAGAGAUUGAUUGACAGGAGACCAGCAAUUGCUGGGAAGAUAGAGCAGGAGAUGGAGAAUCAAUUGAUAACAAAAAGAAUCGAAGGCGAGAACCAUGAGUCCUCAUCAGGUUUGAUUCUUUCUCCUCCAUUAAAAAAUAAAUUUUAGCAUUCUCGUUGUUUGGAUGGAAUGAAAACUAUCAAAGAAAUGAUUGGUUUGGAGAGUGAGGUGAUGGUGAACGACUCACCACCAGGUUUGUCAAAAAGAGAAAAUGGGAGGACAGCUGGUAAGGAAGGGAAGGCGAUUGUUGACACUUCCACAUGGGGGAACAUGAUUCCAGAGUACUGAGGAUACGGCCGAGGCAGGAAAAGGGGAAGACACUCGAUUAGUGACACAUCCAACACUGUGUGUUGGUUUGGCCUUUCAUUAGGAACAACCACAAUCCCUUUCCAUUACAAACAACAACGACUCUCACUCUCUCCUUGUCGAAAAUGACCCUUGUCUUUAAAAUGUUAGUGUCUAUUGUAUGCCUGUGUUUAAAAUCUGAUAGUAGUAAAGGCAAGAGAAGUAGCGCAGAGUGGUGAUUGAAGGAGUGACGGUCGAAAAAAGGAGGCAGCAAAAGAAGCUCUGCACUCUGGUUCUCAAUGCAUGAUGGACAGAAUCAUGGUGCCUAGGUGGGUGAGAAGGAACCCCAUAGAUACAUCUGCCAUACCAGCAUCUCCUGGAUUGAUUGUGGACUCAUGAGUAGCUUGGGCAAUAAGGAUCUCUCUCUUUCUAAUGCAAAAGAGGAAUGAAAAUUUGUAGCCAACUGUAAAUGUGGCUGAUGGAAUCUAUCUUGAUAAGGAGACCACCGACUAUUGAACUUCCUUUUUCAUUCUAUGCUUGCGAUGGACAAGAAACGUGUCUUCACAAAGUUGUUUCAUAACAAUGAUAUUUUUUGUUUUAACACAAUUACAUUGAGUUGUAUAUCCAACGUGAUUUUUACUGAUGCAAAUGUAAUUAAAGUUUACA